AAGCGCUUGCAAUCAGACUUGCUCUCGGUUGAUCAACCGGUGUUCUCACCGGUGCACUCGAUCGUGAUCAGGCCAGCAUCAGUUUGGGCGGCUGGAUAAAGGCUCGAGGAAUGUAGCUCUUUUCGGGGAGUGUUAUAGCCUCGGGUGCAAUGCGGCCUGCCUGGACUGAGGACCGCGCUUCGGCUAGGAUGCUGGCGUAAUGGUUGUAAGCGA
rnacentral:rRNA from 1 species